ensembl:lncRNA
UAACAACCCUGUGUUGUAUUUGUCCAUAACAACCCUGUGUUGUAUCCACCAUAACAACCCUGUGUUGUAUCCACCAUAACAACCCUGUGUUGUAUCCACCAUAACUACCCUGUGUUGUAUCCACCGUAACAACCCUGUGUUGUAUCCACCAUAACAACCCUGUGUUGUAUCCACCAUAACAACCCUGUGUUGUAUCCACCAUAACAACCCUGUGUUGUAUCUGUCCAUAACAACCCUGUGUUGUAUCCACCAUAACAACCCUGUGUUGUAUCCACCAUAACAACCCUGUGUUGUAUCCACCAUAACAACCCUGUGUUGUAUCCACCAUAACAACCCUGUGUUGUAUCCACCAUAACAACCCUGUGUUGUAUCCACCAUAACAACCCUGUGUUGUAUCCACCAUAACCACCCUGUGUUGUAUCCACCAUAACAACCCUGUGUUGUAUCCACCAUAACCACCCUGUGUUGUAUCCACCAUAACCACCAUAACAACCCUGUGUUGUAUCCACCAUAACAACCCUGUGUUGUAUCCACCAUAACAACCCUGUGUUGUAUCCACCAUAACCACCCUGUGUUGUAUCCACCAUAACCACCCUGUGUUGUAUCCACCAUAACAACCCUGUGUUGUAUCCACCAUAACAACCCUGUGUUGUAUCCACCAUAACAACCCUGUGUUGUAUCCACCAUAACAACCCUGUGUUGUAUCCACCAUAACCACCCUGUGUUGUAUCCACCAUAACCACCAUAACAACCCUGUGUUGUAUCCACCAUAACAACCCUGUGUUGUAUCCACCAUAACAACCCUGUGUUGUAUCCACCAUAACAACCCUGUGUUGUAUCUGCGAGGCAUAAUAACUCUGUGGUCUGUAAAUGUUGCCAUGGUGAUGUUCUACUGCUAUACUACUGCUACACACACACACACACACACACACACACACACACACACACACACACACACACACACACACACACACACACACACACACACACACCCGCACACACAUACACACACACACACACAUACACACACACACACACACACACACACAUACACACACACACACACACCUCCCGCAACAGUAAGCACGGUACCACUUCUCCACACCAUCAUUUCAUUUAGAAUCCUUGAAGCAUUCCUGUCCCACCAAACAUACACACAGCACCGACAAGAGACAAAAGAAACGCACGUUGGCGAGUUUACCCUUUUAUGACAGCCAAGGACAGCAGAAGAGGACUGAAGAGACCAGUAACUCAGAUCUACCUGUAGAAGGCUGACGGUGACCGAUGCACUGAUCCCUGACAGAAAACAAUGGGCUGCAUCCCAAAAGGGAAAUUCUUUCUCAUAGAUGUGUGCUGUUCUCAAACUGACCCAUAGGGCUCUGGUGAAAAGUAGUGCACUAUGUAGAGAAUAGGUUGUCAUUUGUGACUCAGACAUGGACUGUAAUUGCUAUUGUAUUCUGUAAAUGAGACGCUACCAGUGGCUUUGCUUGUGUGAACCUCAACCUCAUCCAUAGUUUGUAACCAACUAAUGAGAGAGUCGACUUAUUCUAUUCUACUACUGGACGUAAGCAGGUCUUUAUUUAUUAAUCCUAUCGGGUGUCCCAAAUGGGUUAUUUAUUGAUCCUAUCGGGCGUCCCAAAUGGGUUAUUUAUUGAUCCUAUCGGGCGUCCCAAAUGGGUUAUUCAAUGAUCCUAUCGGGCGUCCCAAAUUGGUUAUUUAUUGAUCCUAUCGGGUGUCCCAAAUGGGACCUCAUUUCUUAUAUAAUGAACUACGGUAUAUAAUGAAUAGGAUGCCCUUUCGAACGUCUCACCGUCUGUUUCUCCACAGUGCAGCUGUCAAUGAUGUUUCUUAGCGCUGAAUAUAUGUACAGUAUGCCUAUGGCUACGUGCUAAAAUGGUACCCUAUUGCCUACAUAGGGCCUAUAGGGUUCUGGUUAUAAGUAGAGGGCUGUGUAAAGAAUAGGGUACCCUUUGGGAUCUAUCCACUGGCAGCUGGCAAGAGGCUCUAUAAUUACACCAGAUUUCGUAGUAUUAUUGUUAUUAAACUGUUUUAUUUUGCUCUUGCUAUCAGUAGGACCGGUAGUAUGGUGGGAGGGGGUCAUUGGGGUGAUGAUGAUGUUGGUGACCAGCAACAAUGAAAAUGUUUGGAUGUUUUCCCCCUCCUACAUUACAGGUUAAGGUGUCACGACAACACAGCAUACUGAUACUCUUACUGUAGGUGGUUGAAUCAUAGGAUGAUUCCUGAAUGGAACCCUAUGAAUCAUAGGAUGAUUCUCGAAUGGAACCCUAUGAAUCAUAGGAUGAUUCCUAAAUGGAACCCUGUGAAUCAUAGGAUGAUUGAUUCCUAAAUGGAACCCUAUGAAUCAUAGGAUGAUUCCUGAAUGGAACCCUAUAAAUCAUAGGAUGAUUCCUGAAUGGAACCCUAUGAAUCAUAGGAUGAUUCCCAAAUGGAACCAUAUGAAUCAUAGGAUGAUUCCCGAAUGGAACCCUAUGAAUCAUAGGGUGAUUCCUGAAUGGAACCCUAUGAAUCAUAGGAUGAUUCCCGAAUGGAACCCUAUGAAUCAUAGGAUGAUUCCCAAAUGGAACCAUAUGAAUCAUAGGAUGAUUCCCGAAUGGAACCCUAUGAAUCAUAGGGUGAUUCCUGAAUGGAACCCUAUGAAUCAUAGGAUGAUUCCCGAAUGGAACCCUAUGAAUCAUAGGAUGAUUCCCGAAUGGAACCAUAUGAAUCAUAGGAUGAUUGAUUCCUAAACGGAACCCUGUGAAUCAUAGGAUGAUUGAUUCCUAAACGGAACCCUAUGAAUCAUAGGAUGAUUGAUUCCUAAAUGGAACCAUAUUUCCUUUAUAGUACACUACUUUUUUUAACUAAAGGGGGUCUGUGGUGAAAAGUAGUGCACUAGGUAAGGAAUAGGGUGUCACUUAUGAGUCCUGAAUAGUGUUUGUACUAUCAUUCAUGAAAAUGUUCUUAUGUUGAGGAGAUGGAUAUAGAUGUAUUAGUUAUUGACGUCAUUAGUUAUUGAUGUUAUUAGUUACGUUCGGACAGAGGGCAUUUUCGUUGGGGAUUUUCCACGUUUACAUCACUGUUGUUCCUUAUUUUGUAACUUUAAUUCUGAAUUUAAUAAUGAAAGGGGAUAUAUCCCAUGAGGUGCUGUUUCGUGUCAUUAAAAGCUAUAAAGUGGUCUGAUGUGUGCUGCUGCUCUCAAACUGUACAGUAAAUAGAGAUAUAGCCUGGGUACCAGUGUGUUUGUGCUAUCAUUCCACUCUUUGUCAACAAGUUUGGCUUGACAAGUAAUGGCGAAGAACACAAAGGAAACUGGUACCCGGGCUAGCGCUAGUGGUUGAUGGGCUACAGAAAACAAAGACAGGAUUUAAAGGUCCUUUCCCUUUGUUAGAGCUUCAUAGUUGUACCUUUUUAUACCUAGAAACACUUGAUAAACCGAUUAUAGUCUUUACCUCAGCACACGGCCGCUGCAUCCCAAACGGCUCCCUGUUUAGUGCACUACUUUUGAUUGGGAUCUGGUCUAAAGUAGUGCACUUUAUAGGGAAUAGGGUACCAAUUGAGACAUAUACAGUGAGAUUAGACUUAGUGUACAGCUCUCUGGGCUGUCAUAUUGAGCCCUUUAAAAUCCCAGUGGGGCUAACUACAGUAUUUCCAAGAGAAUUUCAGGGCCAUGGUAAGAGGAUUCUGCAUUGAUGUCUUGAGGCAUCCUCUUUGUAAGCAUAUCCAUGUAUUGGAUGUCAUUAGGAAUCAUACAAAGUCUACUGUAUCGCAGGGUGAUUUAGGAAUCAUACAAAGCCUACUGUAUUGCAGGGUGGUUUAGAUACAGUCAUCAUCCAUCUUCCAACUGCUUUUUAUUUUGGGUGUUGACUGAGUGGAAGGCCAACAUUUAACCAGGACUACUGGAGCAGUAGGCCUGGUGUAACCAUGACUACAGAAACAGUUGGCCAAGUGUAACUAUGACUACAGGAGUAGUAGGCCAAGUAUAACCAUGACUACCGGAGCAGUAGGCCUAGUGUAACCAUGACUACAGGAACAGUUGGCCUAGUGUAACUAUGACUACAGGAGCAGUAGACCAAGUGUAACCAUGACUACCGGAGCAGUAGGCGUAUUGUAACCAUGACUACAGGAACAGUUGGCCUAGUGUAACUAUGACUACAGAAGCAGUAGGCAAAGUAUAACCAUGACUACUGGAGCAGUAGACCAGGUGUAAUCAUGACUGCUGGAGCAGUAGACCUGGUGUAACCAUGACUACAGGAGCAGUAUGCCUGGUGUAACCAUGACUACAGGAACAGUUGGCCUAGUGUAACCAUGACUACAGGAGCAGUAGGCCUAGUGUAACCAUGACUACCGGAGCAGUAGGCCUAGUGUAACCAUGACUACAGGAACAGUUGGCCUAGUGUAACUAUAACUACAGGAGCAGUAGACCAAGUGUAACCAUGACUACCGGAGCAGUAGACCUAGUGUAACCAUGACUGCUGGAGCAGUAGACCCUGGUGUAACCAUGACUACAUGAGCAGUAGACCUGGUGUAACCAUGACUACAGGAGCAGUAUACCUGGUGUAACCAUGACAACUGGAGCAGUAGGCCUGGUGUAACCAUGACUACAGGAACAGUUGGCCUAGUGUAACCAUGACUACCAGAGCAGUUGGCCUAGUGUAACCAUGACUACUGGAGCAGUAAGCCUAGUGUAACCAUGACUACUGGAGCAGUAGACCUAGUGUAACCAUGACUACCGGAGCAGCAGACCUAGUGUAACCAUGACCACCGGAGCAGUAGACCUGGGGUAACCAUGACUACCGGAGCAGCAGACCUGGUGUAACCAUGACUACCGGAGCAGUAUCCCUAGUGUAACCAUGACUACCGGAGCAGUAGGCCUAGUGUAACCAUGACUACUGGAGCAGUAGGUCUAGUGUAACCAUGACUACUUGAGCAGUAGACCUAGUGUAACCAUGACUACCGGAGCAGUAUACCUAGUGUAACCAUGACUACCGGAGCAGUAGCCCUAGUGUAACCAUGACUACCGGAGCAGUAGACCUAGGGUUAGGCUAUAAAGGGGUAGCACAAUGCAACUCCAGACCUAUAGAGGGGUAACAUGGGCUGCCUGGUCUUGCUGCUUGACUGAGUUAAAUCUUCAUUAAUACCCCUGCCAACUCUCUAAACACUCAGUUGUUUUUCUGUCUGCCUCUUUUGUUGAGUCAUUAUGGAGGCUACUAGACAGAAUUCACUUUGGUCUUUACCGCAGGUGCACUCUGCCCAAAAUAUCCUCACAGACCUAUGGAGAGAGAGAAAGAGAGUGGGUCAGAGAGAGAGACAGAGUGGCGGGGGGUCAUCUAGGAUACAGGCCAAGUACAGACAAAUAUGGUAAUUAUCCUAGGAUGUAGGCCAAGUAAAGACAAAGAUGGUAAUUAUCCUAGGAUGUAGGCCAAGUAAAGAUAAAGAUGGUAAUUAUCCUAGGAUGUAGGCCAAAUAAAGACAAAGAUGGUAAUUAUCCUAGGAUGUAGGCCAAAUAAAGACAAAGAUGGUAAUUAUCCUAGGAUGUAGGCCAAGUAAAGACAAAGAUGGUAAUUAUCCUAGGAUGUAGGCCAAAUAAAGACAAAGAUGGUAAUUAUCCUAGAAUGUAGGCCAAAUAAAGACAAAGAUGGUAAUUAUCCUAGGAUGUAGGCCAAGUAAAGACAAAGAUGGUAAUUAUCCUAGGAUGUAGGCCAAGUAAAGACAAAGAUGGUAAUUAUCCUAGGAUGUAGGCCAAGUAAAGACAAAGAUG